UACGUAGGCAGCGAGCGUUGUUCGGAGUUACUGGGCGUAAAGAGUGCGUAGCGGUUUUCUAAGUUUGGUGUGAAAUCUCCCGGCUCAACUGGGAGGGUGCGCCGAAGACUGGAAGGCUUGAGUAUGGGAGAGGGUAAGCGGAAUUCCUGGUGUAGCGGUGAAAUGCGUAGAUAUCAGGAGGAACACCUGCGGUGUAGACGGCUUCUGGACCAUAACUGACGUGAGGCACGAAAGCGUGGGUAGCAAACAGG
rnacentral:rRNA from 1 species